CUACGGGGGGCAGCAGUGGGGAAUAUUGGACAAUGGGGGAAACCCUGAUCCAGCAAUGCCGCGUGUGUGAAGAAGGCCUGCGGGUUGUAAAGCACUUUCGGUUGGGAGGACUGCUUCUAGCACUAAUAUUGUUGGAAGUUGACGUUACCUUCAGAAGAAGCACCGGCUAACUCCGUGCCAGCAGCCGCGGUAAUACGGGAGGUGCAAGCGUUAAUCGGAAUUACUGGGCGUAAAGCGCGCGUAGGCGGCUAGAUCAGUCGGGUGUGAAAGCCCCGGGCUUAACCUGGGAACUGCAUCCGAUACUGUCUAGCUUGAGUACAGGAGAGGAGAGUGGAAUUCUACAUGUAGCGGUGAAAUGCGUAGAUAUGUGGAGGAACACCAAUGGCGAAGGCAGCUCUCUGGCCUGAUACUGACGCUGAGGUGCGAAAGCGUGGGGAGCAAACAGGAUUAGAUACCCGUGUAGUC
rnacentral:rRNA from 1 species